UCAAUCCCUUAUUAGUCAUCAUUAGGGCCUGAGAACGAUCCCUUCUCUUCGUUGUCGCGAUCCUUUCUUCCUUAUUUUCGUCGCUCUCACUUCAACAAUCAUCUUGCGCUUCUUCUGCUUGGCGUCUCGGAAUCGCUGCUUCUUUGCAUAUUUCUCUCUCGCCCCUCGAUUCGCGUCUGCCAUUCAGAGUAUCAGAUUCAUUUAUCUUUGUUGAUGAACGAGCACUCAACACUCCGUCAGAUGCCGUCCACUGUUGUCAGCCCUGUGUUGUUCUCAGGCAAGCAGUAAAGAAGGCAUUUCAGUAAAGGACAGAUAGAUAAUAUAACAAUUGAUGACCCAUGCUGCUGGAAUUGACUAGGUGAGUUAGUUAAGGCAUAUUUCUAGAUUGAUAUGAACAAUGAUUGGUGAAGGUUGGGAAGGAAAUACCUGGUUGGGGCAAGAUGUUUAUUUGAGAAUGAUAUAGCAUCCAGAAGCUGGAAUUAUGCAUUGCCUCUUGUGGCAAGACAGAGGAGAUAAAUUAAACAGGAGAUAUUGUAUUUGGUGCUGAACUAGUGACCUAUAAAACAACAGACAAGGCGAGCACUAGGUGCUCCAUAGCGAAUUUACUUCUUUGAAAGAUCUGGAAAAUGAGUUUGACUCAUAUGGUCAACAUGGGAAUUAGCUUGAUGUAAAAAAGAGAAAGAGCAAGAAAAGUGAUAGGAAGUUAAACUUCCUGAAAAUAUUGGAUGCUGAACAAGAUGCUUUACAGGGUAACCUUUUUAAUUAAUGCUACCGCUAUGGUAAUGAAUGUGUAGUCUCUCCUCAUGACUAUCGUAGGAGGUACUCCUAGAGAUUCUGCUCUGGAGGGUUCUCCUGUUUUUUGUACUGUUACUUUAGGAAGUCCAAGAGAAAAUGGUGUACUGAAUAACAUUUGCACUGAGUCUGAUGAAAUAUGUAACUUGGAAGAUUCUCUGUAAAGUAAAGAGGUAGAACUGUUAGACAUAAGUCCUGAUUUGUCACUGGAAGGUUCUUCAAUGAGUACUGAUGCUAUUAUAAAGACUCAUAUAAAGAGUCUCAAGCUGUGACUGAUGUGUCAAGUUCCCAAAGAAGUGCUGAAGUAAGCUUGGCAAAGAAGGAAGCAGAUAAUAUUGGUGAACUGGUAGAAAUGGGUCCUGAUUUUUCAUUGGAAGCUUCUUCAAUCAAAACUGAUUUGUCAAUCAAAACUGAUGCUACUAUAAAGGACUCAUGUAAAGACUCUCCACCGAUGACUGAUUUGUCAAGUUCCCAAAAAAGUCUAGAAGUAAGCUUGACAAAGCGGAAAGGAGAAGGAAUUUUUGAAAACAUAGAUAUAGUUCCUGAUUUUUCACAGGAAGGUUCUUUCAUGGAGGCUGAUGGUGCUAGAAGAGACUCAUGUAAAUACUCGCCAACUAUCACUGAUUUGUCAAGUCCCCAACGAGUUACAGAAGUAAGCUUGACAAUGAGCAAGAGAAGGAAAAGUUGGAGCCCGAUACACAAUGCCCCUGUCAGCAAUGUUAAUGGAAGCAAUUUUUGUUUUGAAGAAAAUGUGGAAAAGGAGCAGAAUACACUUGAAAAGGCUGCAGAGAACAGCAAUGCAAAGUUAGACCUGCAGGAAGCAAGCAGCAGAUCGAGCUCAAUUUUUGUAAAUGCUGACUUGGUGGAGGAAGAAACUAAAGCUAACCAAGUUACCUCAAAUGCUGGAGGUUCAGAGGAAAGGAUAAUGCUGGAGAAUGCUUAUGAGCAAAGGUGUGUAACUGAUGAGCCUGUUAUGGACGUCCCUGAGGUGCAACUUGAAGAAGAUAAUGGAAGAAAGCUGGAUGGUGAUCAACUUUCGAGAAAUGUGUGUCUUCUGCUGGUGAUGUUGCUGAUUCAAGCUUAGUCUGCAGGAAAGAUAAUCAUUCCAUGGUAUCACACUUUCCACUAGAUAGAACUUUUACUAGCCGCUCAAAGAAGAAGCUUCUUGUUCUUGAUGUGAAUGGGUUGCUUGCUGACUUUGUUAGUCAUGUUCCUUUUGGAUAUGAGCCUGAUGCAUGGAUUUCUAAGAAAGCAGUUUUCAAGAGGCGCUUUUGUGAUGAUUUUUUGAAGUUCUGCUUUGAGAAAUUUAAUGUGGGCGUUUGGUCAUCGAGACACAAGAAUAAUGUUGAAGCUGCAAUCCAGUUUCUUAUGGGGAAGUCUGCUUCUAAGCUACUCUUUUGUUGGAAUCAGUCCCACUGUACUAUGACAGACUUCAACACCGUUGAGAACAGAGACAAACCCCUCGUGUUGAAGGAACUUAGAAAGUUGUGGGAAAAGCUUGAACCUGGUCUUCCAUGGGAGAAGGGAGAGUUCAAUGAGUCGAACACUUUAUUGUUGGAUGACUCUCCUCACAAGGCACUAGUAAAUCCAAUGAACACUGCCAUAUUUCCUUAUUCUUAUCAUUACCGUGACCUAAGAGACUCAUCAUUAGGACUUGGAGGUGAUCUCCGGACUUAUCUUGAAGGGCUGGCAAUGGCUGAAGAUGUUCGAGAGUACGUGGCUUCAAAUCCGUUUGGCCAACGCCCGAUAAGAGAAUCAAAUCCAUCAUGGCGUUAUUAUCGCAAAGUUAUAGAUAGUGUAAAUGCCUCCAAUGAUUUCAGAACCUCUUCUAGCUGGGAGCGAAGAUCUUACUGAACAAUUAAGGGCAAAGCCCUUAAUGAAUGUAAUGGAAAGUUCUUUAUUUACUGAGUCUGACGACUGAAGUGACAUUGAGUUUUGGCGCUGAUUUCUCAUUGUGUUGGCCAUGUAUGUGCCUGCUGUUUGAGUCAGACGUGCUUAGGAGUUAUAUAGUUUUACAGUACUUGACUUCCAACCUAGGGAAGGACAUAAAUCUUUUCUUUCGGUCUUUUGAGUUUUGUUCUGACACAAGUUAGAUGAGUGUAAUAUUGCGAAGGGCUACUGAAGCGUUACCCGUUUUAUUCCCAGAGACGAUAAUGCAAUCGCAAAGUUAUGGUGAUGAUGGAUGAUGGUUCAGCAUUGCAGAUGUUACCAAAGUAGACUGGUGAAAUGAAAACCAAUUUUUCUUUUGUUCCUCUCUCUGAAGUAGUUUAUAGUUUUUCACCUUCAGUCACAGCCUUACUGAAAUUUGUACUGGUAUUCACUCGAUCUUGAGCGUGUGUUACAUAAAGGAACCUCGACUAUCUUUGGAGAGCUGUGCAAAAGUUAUUGACUUGGAAUGGAUUUGGAGCAUAUUUACUUUCAAA